rnacentral:rRNA from 1 species
UACGAAGGGGGCUAGCGUUGCUCGGAAUCACUGGGCGUAAAGCGCACGUAGGCGGCUUUCUAAGUCAGGGGUGAAAUCCUGGAGCUCAACUCCAGAACUGCCUUUGAUACUGGAAAGCUUGAGUUCGGGAGAGGUGAGUGGAACUGCGAGUGUAGAGGUGAAAUUCGUAGAUAUUAGGAAGAACACCGGUGGCGAAGGCGGCCCACUGGUCCGGUACUGACGCUGAGGUGCGAAAGCGUGGGGAGCAAACAGG